rnacentral:rRNA from 1 species
CUAACAAGGAUUCCCCUAGUAACUGCGAGUGAAGCGGGAAAAGCUCAAAUUUAAAAUCUGGUAGUCUCUGGCUGCCCGAGUUGUAAUCUAGAGAAGUGUUAUCCGCGCUGGACCGUGUAUAAGUCUCCUGGAAUGGAGCGUCAUAGAGGGUGAGAAUCCCGUCUUUGACACGGACUACCAGGGCUUUGUGAUGCGCUCUCAAAGAGUCGAGUUGUUUGGGAAUGCAGCUCUAAAUGGGUGGUAAAUUCCAUCUAAAGCUAAAUAUUGGCGAGAGACCGAUAGCGAACAAGUACCGUGAGGGAAAGAUGAAAAGAACUUUGGAAAGAGAGUUAAACAGUACGUGAAAUUGUUGAAAGGGAAACGCUUGAAGUCAGUCGCGUUGGCUUGGAAUCAGCCUUGCUUUUGCUUGGUGUACUUCCUUGUUGACGGGUCAGCAUCAAUUUUGACCGGUGGAAAAAGGCUAGUGGAAUGUGGCAUCUUCGGAUGUGUUAUAGCUGCUAGUUGUAUACAUCGGUUGGGAUUGAGGAACUCAGCACGCCGAAAGGUCGGGGUUCGCCCACGUUCGUGCUUAGGAUGCUGGCAUAAUGGCUUUAAUCGACCCGUCUUGAAACACGGACCAAGGAGUCUAACAUGCCUGCGAGUGUUUGGGUGGAAAACCCGAGCGCGUAAUGAAAGUGAAAGUUGAGAUCCCUGUCGUGGGGAGCAUCGACGCCCGGACCAGACCUUCUGUGACGGAUCCGCGGUAGAGCAUGUAUGUUGGGACCCGAAAGAUGGUGAACUAUGCCUGAAUAGGGUGAAGCCAGAGGAAACUCUGGUGGAGGCUCGUAGCGAUUCUGACGUGCAAAUCGAUCGUCAAAUUUGGGUAUAGGGGCGA